rnacentral:rRNA from 1 species
AAAAUUAGUUAUAUACACAUCUCCCGAAUAUAAAAGAUCUAAAUGUAUUUUAAGUUAUUAGAUUCUUUUGUUGUGUUCUGUAGCAUUAGUUAUUAAAAUAAUACUUUAGGGGUGAAAGGCCUUCAAUUUUAUAGAUAGCUGGAUAAAUGUUAAAUAUAUCAAGUUUAAAAUAAACUUACAAAGUGAUAAGAUUUUGUAAGUAUAAAUUUCUGUAUUUAAUUUGGUGCCACUAGCUAAUAACUACAAGCAUAAUUUUGUAAUUAAAUAAUUCUACAGUAUAGUAAUUAUAUGACAACGUUUCAUUUUACCUACUUUAUCUCUUAAAUGGACAAUGUAUAAAUAAGUAUAUCAAUAUAAAUUUUAAUUAAGGAAUUCGGCAAAUAAAGUGUACGACUGUUUAACAAAAACAUAGUCGGUAGUAAUUAAAUUAUCGAUGAUACCUGCCCAGUGAAUUUUUAACGGCCGCAGUACUAUGACUGUGCAAAGGUAGCAUAAUCAUUUGGCUUUUAAUUGAAGUCUGGUAUGAAAGGAUAAACGUACUCGAGCUGUCUCUAUAAUGAAGUUUAUAAAAAUUAUUUAUAGGGUGAAAAUACCCUAGCUAUAAAAAAAAGACGAGAAGACCCUUAGAAUUUUAAGAAUAACCAAAGCUAUGGUUGGUAUGAUUUUUGUUGGGGCAACAUUUUUUCAGAGAAACAAAGAACUAACUUAGACAUAUAACGAAUAAGUUUAAUUAAAUAAAAAUUACCUAAGGGAUAACAGCAUAAUUUUAGUUAAAGAUUGUGACCUCGAUGUUGGACUAGGAACUAUUAAGGCUAGUCGUUUUAAUAUAAUAGGUUCUGUUCGAACUUUAUUUCCUA